CCGACCUUGAAAUACCACCCUUUAAUGUUUGAUGUUCUAACGUGGACCCGUAAUCCGGGUUGCGGACAGUGUCUGGUGGGUAGUUUGACUGGGGCGGUCUCCUCCUAAAGAGUAACGGAGGAGCACGAAGGUUGGCUAAUCCUGGUCGGACAUCAGGAGGUUAGUGCAAUGGCAUAAGCCAGCUUGACUGCGAGCGUGACGGCGCGAGCAGGUGCGAAAGCAGGUCAUAGUGAUCCGGUGGUUCUGAAUGGAAGGGCCAUCGCUCAACGGAUAAAAGGUACUCCGGGGAUAACAGGCUGAUACCGCCCAAGAGUUCAUAUCGACGGCGGUGUUUGGCACCUCGAUGUCGGCUCAUCACAUCCUGGGGCUGAAGUAGGUCCCAAGGGUAUGGCUGUUCGCCAUUUAAAGUGGUACGCGAGCUGGGUUUAGAACGUCGUGAGACAGUUCGGUCCCUAUCUGCCGUGGGCGCUGGAGAACUGAGGGGGGCUGCUCCUAGUACGAGAGGACCGGAGUGGACGCAUCACUGGUGUUCGGGUUGUCAUGCCAAUGGCACUGCCCGGUAGCUAAAUGCGGAAGAGAUAAGUGCUGAAAGCAUCUAAGCACGAAACUUGCCCCGAGAUGAGUUCUCCCUGAGACUUUAAGUCUCCUGAAGGAACGUUGAAGACGACGACGUUGAUAGGCCGGGUGUGUAAGCGCAGCGAUGCGUUGAGCUAACCGGUACUAAUGAACCGUGAGGCUUAACCUU
rnacentral:rRNA from 1 species